rnacentral:rRNA from 1 species
UACGUAGGGGGCAAGCGUUGUCCGGAUUUAUUGGGCGUAAAGAGCGUGUAGGCGGCCAUACAGGUCAGCUGUGAAAACUCGAGGCUCAACCUCGAGACGUCGGUUGAAACCGUAUGGCUAGAGUCCGGAAGAGGAGAGUGGAAUUCCCGGUGUAGCGGUGAAAUGCGUAGAUAUCAAGAGGAACACCUGAGGUGAAGACGGGUUGCUGGGCUGACACUGACGCUGAAGCGCGAAAGCUAGGGGAGCAAACGGG